AUAGAACAUUGCAAUUAUUGUUCUUCAACGAGGAAUGCCUAGUAAGCGCGAGUCAUCAUCUCGCGUUGAUUACGUCCCUGCCCUUUGUACACACCGCCCGUCGCUCCUACCGAUUGAACGUGCUGGUGAAGCGUUAGGACUGGAGACUUUGGGCCGGUUCGCCUGCCCAUCGCUUCGGGAAUUUCGUUGAACCCUCCCGUUUAGAGGAAGGAGAAGUCGUAACAAGGUCUCCGUAGGUGAACCUGCGGAGGGAUCAUUGAAACCGAUCAAACCACUCACAGAGCACCUGCGGGCCCCCUGCGGGCCCGCCGUAGUGAACCAGGAGCCCGGCCGCGUCGGCGCGUGCCCGCAACCCCCGGCAUCCGGGGGCCGGCCGCGUCUGGCGCGCUGGGCCCUGUCCAACGCAACAAACCCUCUGCCCUGAAGCAGCUUCGCAAGGGGACACCCCGCGCGACGUUAACUGAGACAACUCUCAACAACGGAUAUCUUGGCUCUCGCAACGAUGAAGAACGCAGCGAAAUGCGAUACGUAGUGUGAAUUGCAGAAUUCCGUGAGUCAUCGAAUCUUUGAACGCACAUUGCCGGUCGACUCUCCGGAGGAGACCACAUCUGCCUCAGCGUCGGAAUACCCCCUCACGCGGCCGCGUCUCUGGACGCGGCGCGUGGAGCUGGCCCCCCCGGCCUGCGUCUCUCGACGCGGGCCGGGCCGGCUGAAAUGCAGAGGCUCGUCCGCGGCCCACUCAGUGGCCCCGACUAGGUAGGUAGCUCGCUACUGCUAGGCGGCGGCCCGGUGCUGCGGGCUCUGGGCCCAAAGGAUACCCCCAUUCCAUCGACCUGAGUUCAGGUGAGGCUA
rnacentral:rRNA from 1 species